rnacentral:lncRNA from 1 species
UGAUUGGGAAGGGAAUGAGCUUUGCUGGAAUGCUUCGACUAUGGUCCCGGAAGGUGGGUUUAAGAUUGUUGCAACUGCUGGAAAAACCAUUCAUCAACAUGUUAUUUCUGCACUAUCACAAUGAAUUGUUUAGUUGUUUCAUAGAGUUUAUGCAAUUCUGAAAUGUUGCUUUUUAGGCUUUUCUUUACCCCUCUUGUUGUUGCCUAUAAAAUUCAAUGGAAUGUUUUUAGAUAAGCAUACUCCAUAUUUCAACAACAUGCCAUAAUCCCACAAGUACAACUGGGGUCUGGGGAGGGUGGUGCAUACGCAGACCUUACCUCCACCUUUGGAGUGUGGGGUUAGGGGAGCUUAACCCUACCUUUGGAGGCAGAGAGAGGGGGUUUGUUUCUGAUGGACCCUUGGCUCAAGUAAAGUCAUUCAAAGCAUUUUGAGAAACGAAAACAACGGGAGUGAAGAAGCAUACUACAUUUGUUUCAAGAAAUAUGGGAUUGAUCAAAAGUGAUGCAUCACUCACUACCUGCACUUUUUUGAAAAACUAAUCAACUGCUACAAUGCAUCAAUUAGUUGCAGCAGUUACAAAACUUCUCUUGUUGAGCAAUAUCAAUGAUUCAAAUCACAACUCGAUAAUAAACAGAUAUUGAGAUGGGAACUGCUCUGCAGAAUAGGACGCUAUAACCGGCCCACCAAACAAGAACAGACCAUUAGACACAGAAGCAAGAAUAUCUUCUUUUCUAUAUCAAUUAAACUGACUGGAUAUUCAUCUGGAGAACGAAGUUAUUCUGCGAUCCAUUAGCACGUCAAACGACAGAAUCAGUCAGAUAACACGAAGAGUCAACGAUACAGGCAAAUCCUGAGUGCUAAGUUCUCUCAAGAAGAAUCCAAAACAUAAGCAAAUCCCAGCAGCCCAUCUUUCACACAAUUAAGGCAUGUCAAAUGGGCACAUUAUAUCCGAACUCCAUCUAGUCAAAUUUUCACAGAAAUGUCUGAAUCAUUUAAAAAGUUGGUCCACCGUGCAUCAAACUAAUACAUGUUAUGACAGUAUUCUCAAGUAAAGUAUACUUUUCUUGAAUUGCAUCCUAUUUUCCUGAAUAUGGCAAAAGAAUACCUUUAUUCCUUUGGAUCCUGGUAUUACAGCUUAACUACUUACAUUGAAGCAGCAUUCCAAAAAAUAAUGGAUAAUGUCAACUAAUGCAAUAGAACAGUAUUUCAGAUUAUUUUACGUUAAGUGAUGCGAGCAAACAACAACAUACCCAGUGUAAAUCCCACAACCGGGGUCUGGGAAGGUUCAUUAUACGCAGCCUUACACCUACCUUGUGAAGGUAGAGAGAUUGUUUCCGAUAGACCCUCCGCUCAACUGAUGCAAACAAGAAAGAAGACAAUCCAGUUAUAACAUUCCAGGGCUCCGGGUAGAGACACAAUAAGAAGCUUUAAGGCACGAGCUAAUGAUGAAACUCGUUCGUGCAUUAAUCUGAUGGAUCAUCAACAGAAGCAUAUAAAUGGGCUACAACUGACAAAAGAGUGCCCAACUGUAAGUUGUCCCUACUUCCUUUACUCUCUUUGAUCAACAGUGGUUUAUCGCGGUACAACACAUGCUCGAUACUGCCUGCCUAAUAUAAAAAAAUAUAAAACAGGCAAGUUACCAGAAUUUCCAAAUUGAUACAUAAGAUUGGAAACUGCUGUCGUUGUAGGGCCAAUGAAGCAACGGCAGAUUAACUUAUGCGGUCAUUAAAAAAAAGCUCAUUAUGAGUUAAAUAGAUCCAUGUUUGUGAAAGAGUUGUCAACUCAACUCAACCCUUCAGCUGCUCUCUUGACCAUGCAAAGUCAUUACAGAAAUACCAUGGAUAAUCCCUCUUGAGAGAUGGUGAGAGUUCUCGCAUUUUCGUUGAUGAUAGUGGAUUACAUCGAGUUAUAGAACUUGUAAAAACACUAAAGGAAGUAGCAAAAUCACAAUAUUUCCCUCAUCAGCAUAUUGGUUAUUGGAGGCCUGAAUUUAAAAGUUUAAUGGCAAGAAACAAUGUUGGAUGUUUGUGCUUCAGCUGUCUAUCACAGUGAAUUCAGGUGACAUCAGGAAGGACUAAGGUCUAACAAGCAAUAACAUAGAAACACAAAAAGCACCUUGUGGAGGGACUGACAGAAUGGUAUGGUUGAGACAGAGUAUCAACCCAGAGAUCCCAGUCCGUUCUUAGUUACAACACUUAGUGUGUGAACUAUGUGCUCCAACCUUAGUGGGCAGGUUUACCCAGCACCUUGCUUGUGGGUUAUAGCGAACUGAAUGAUACCAAAUCAAGGCAGAUUCUAACUACCGAAUGUGACCUCAAAAUAAUAGGGGUCAAUAUCAAGUCCCCCAAGUUUAGUCCAAGAGGCAAAGGUUGAGGGACUUCUGACUUAGAGGUUUGAGCUCUAAGCCAAGCAAACUAAACCUGGUACUUGAGUGAGGGGCUGGCCAAUUAUCAUCAAGCGGACAAAUUUCUCAUUCAUAAAGAAAAACAAAUAACAGUGUCAAGGUCGGCUAGUGAGACUAUGGGGAAUAAUCUUUAUCCUCGAGAUCGACUGGUCAAUUGAGGUGAAUGAAAGUUGACUGGACACACCAUCAUCAAAAAAGUAAUCUACGAAAAAAAUAAAGAACCAUAUGAAAGAAAGAAUUUUUUAGAUGUUGAAUGGAAUUUUCGAUGAGAUAGCAACUGAUGCAUCAAUUUAAAAAGAAAAAAAUAAAGGGCAACCAAGUGCAAUAAAGCUCCCGCUAUGUGCAGGGUCCAGGGAAGGGCCCGACCACAAAGAGUCUAUUGUAGGCAGCCUUACCUUGCAUUUCUACCAAAGGCUGUUUCCAAGGCUUGAACCCAUGACCGCCUGGUCACGUAUCAGCAACUUUACCAGUUACUCCAAGGCUCCCCUUCAAACUGAUGCAUGAAUUAUAUGACAAAAUAUAGCUAUUAGCAUAUCUUUAUCAUACUUUGUAUACAAUGUUUCCGCUAACUCCUAUCAUGUAAGCAUCAAGAAAUAUGUAAGUCACCUAUUAUCAAAAGAAACACUAACUACCAUCCACCAACAUCAGAAUUAAAAAGCAGAAUUUUUAACUCUCGGAGAAAAGCAGUUGCAG